rnacentral:rRNA from 1 species
UGCGAAGCGAAGCAGUGAUGUGAAGCAAAUCGCACCAAAGCCGGUCCCAGUUCGGAUAAGAGGCUGAAACUCGCCUCUUUGAAGUCGGAAUCGCUAGUAAUCGCAGAUCAGCAUGUUGCGGUGAAUACGUUCCCGGGUCUUGUACACACCGCCCGUCAAACCAUGAGAGUCACCAACACCCGAAGUCCGCUUUGGCGGCCUAAGGUGGGGGAGAUGAUUGGGGUUAAGUCGUAACAAGGUACC